UUGUGAUUUUUAACUUUAGCUUUGUGAUAGUCAUCUCUUUAAGGGAAUUCUGCAACAAUCUGACUUCAGCUAUUUCAACCAAUCUGAACUGUAACCAGGAGUGAAUGAGGACACAUUUUUCUACUGGGCCUGCAGCAACUGAUGUCCUACAACAAAUCAAACUCCUGAAUUGAUGAAAUGGAAAAUGGUUUGGACCAUGGCUGCAAGGACGCUAUGUACAAGGCUCUGGAUAAGGGGACAAAAGGCGUAUCUGAUGCGGACCUCAUCUGAUCGCCACCUUUGUGUGUGGCUACAUCAAGCUGUGUGUAGACCCUCAGUACUUUGUCAAUACAUUGAUGUUUUGAAAAUGGUUUACGUUACAGAAGAGCAAGUGCUUGAGCUCUUAGAAAACAUAAAGACACAGAGAUGCCCAAGACCAAACAGAACAAGGGAGUAGCUGGUAGUGAGAUGUUAAAGAAUAAUUGGGUGAGAACUUGACCAGAUGUGUAUACAUGGAGGGACUUGUUAUUGUGAGUUGGAAUAAAACUCUGACUAGAACACUGGAGUCUGUCAAACCCAACCUUCAGCCUCUUGUAAAACAUGUAAAACACACCGCAAUAAAUAAGCUUUCAAAUGUUAUGAUAAUUUUAUGGCAUGUCAUAUUUUGGUUGACUUGUAAAAAAGAAAAAAUAUAUAUUUUUCUUAAAAAAUACACUCCUCUGUUACCUUACAUAUUUAGGAACUGAGGAGCUUGAGAAUCAAUUUCAACAAAGUGCAACACAGCUGUAUCAAGGCCCAGUAUAAAGGGCUGUGCAGGCCAUUCCACCCAAGACGUAUAAUAUUCACAAUAUUGGAUUGGGGUCCCCGGAUGUUCCUGAAUGUGUUGAAAUGUAUUAAAUUGCGGAAAGAAAUCUCUAUGCUCUACAUGAAACUGUGAACAGGAUCCCCCUCCUCCUUCCCAUUGCCUGGAUUAGCAUUGAAGAGUCUGUUGGAAUGACAAUACAACCUUUUCUUUCUUAUAGUCAUUCUCUGUUAUCUUUAGGAGAUGUUCGCUGUCUGUAAGUGGCAUAAACGAAACCUGUUUCCAACUCCAUACCACACAAAAAUUUAAGUGGCACCAUGUGAAGGCUACAUGUCUGUUAUUAUAGUGAACAAGCAGCACAUAAUUCAAUAUGGAUGCUGCAACCACAAAGAGUCAUGCAUCUGACUCCCUGUUCUCUCCAUUUCAGUCAUGAUCAAAUUCUAAGGCUAAAUUAUCAGGUUUUAAUCGACUGUUUUUGUAGGUGUGUGGUGGUUGAAAUCAUUGGCUAACUUAAAAAUUUCCUAAGAUGUUCAGAAUUUAAAGGGUUAAUUAUCUUUCCAACUGAACACAGAGGUGUUAAUCCAAUUGCUUUGAUAGUCUGACAUAUUUUCCACAUUUCCUUCCAGUUUCUGUGUAAUUUUGACUUGUUUAUUUUCAAGUGGCACAUUUAGCAUCCAUAAUACAUGACGUUGUGCUGUGUAAAAUGUGACAGCAAGUCUGUAUUAAAACACUGCUAAAUCAAUGAUGUACUGCUGACAGCAUCUCGAGAAACUCAGGCCACAGCCGACUGCAGCCAGCUCCUGCCUAACUGAUUGUUUCUAAUACUGAAAUGACACUGUUGAGGUCAAGUAAAUAAAUAUGCAUGCAUCCCCAGUUCAAAUUAAUAAAAUUCCAAUGUGUGGAGCCUGCUUGUUGAACAUAUGUUAGAAGCAUGGCUAAGCCAUCUGGCUUUGUGUCAAACAUUUACACCAACUGCAGUCUUACACUACCUGACAGCGGAAAAGCUUUAUUCCCAUGGUGUUUGGGCACAAAUGGAGAAAUAUUAUUGAAAUGAUUAUCUGCAUCAAGACUCAGAUUUGGUUUGACAUUUUGCUGGCUCUGUGUAAUCCAAAGGUCUGUCUGCUAGAAUGAAGAAAGGGUCCGCCAAUAAGCUGGCAGUAACUGCGGAGAGGACUAGAUGAUUAAUGAGGCUGAAAGACUGGUUGUACCCAACCCACCUCCACUCAGACCUGAGGGCCAGAAAAUGCAUAUGAAAUUGGUCUUAAGCUUUACAUGUUUUCUCCAGAGAAUGCUUUAGCUAGCUCUCACUGGGUACUCAAAACCCACCCGAAUUACAGUAUGGUAAGAAAAAGAAAACACCAGAAUUUACAUUAACUUCUAAUUUUGAACGUUGAAUAAAACUGCUAAAGCCAGCCAGUUCAUGGAUCUGUUACACUGCUGGUAUCUAAUUUAACAAUUGAAACACAUCAAAAUUCAUAAUGAAGGUAGUGAUUUAAAUGUUUAUCUUGUAAGGAUGACAUAAUUAACUUUUUUUU